GAUGAAGAACGCAGCGAAAUGCGAUAAGUAAUGUGAAUUGCAGAAUUCAGUGAAUCAUCGAAUCUUUGAACGCACAUUGCGCCCCUUGGUAUUCCAUGGGGCAUGCCUGUUCGAGCGUCAUUUGUACCUUCAAGCUUUGCUUGGUGUUGGGUGUUUGUCUCGCCUUUGCGUGUAGACUCGCCUUAAAAUAAUUGGCAGCCGGCGUAUUGAUUUCGGAGCGCAGUACAUCUCGCACUUUGCACUCAUAACGACAGCGUCCAAAAGUACAUUUUACACUCUUGACCUCGGAUCAGGUAGGGAUACCCGCUGAACUUAAGCAUAUCAAUAAGCGGAGGA
rnacentral:misc_RNA from 1 species